GGCGGUUUGUUGUCGCAGUUCGUUCGUUCUUUGUUCUAUGGUUCGCUUGCUUAAAGUGAUACGGGUUUUCUAGUGUAGAACUUCGGAUCGUAUUUGCAAGAACGGCACCAACAACACCGCUUUAUUUCGGUUCGGGUCAAUUUAUUCGUCCUCUGCUACAACUGCCGUGGAGGAGAAGUAGCAGCAGGGACGCCUCCACCGCUGUGAUUUCUGUGACUAUGAAACUGGAAAACUGUUCUGUCUGAAAACACACACCAUGGUCCACACAGGAUCAAAGCAGUCAUCCUGGCCAUCAACUACCGCGGAUGACAAGUCGCAGCAAAUGAACCUCCACCGCUGUGAUAUCUGCGAAUAUGAAACUGGAACACUGUCCAAUCUAAAAACACACAUCAGGCUUCACAUAAAGGAGCGGCUAUUUCAAUGCCAUUUGUGCCCUCAAAGCUUCUCGGAAAGAUCUAGCCUGACUACGCAUUUGCGCAUUCACUCAGGCGAGAAGCCAUUUCACUGCCCUUC